CUUUAGUAGGUUUAAAGGGUACCUAGACGGUUAUUUCAGCCCCCAAAGGGUACUGUUUAGACUAGAGUUUUAUGAGAGGGGGGGUGUACUAAUGGUGUAGAGAUGAAAUUCUGUCAUACCAUUAAGACAGGCAACAGCGAAGGCAACCCUUUAUGUGUAAACUGACGUUGAAGGACGAAGGCUUGGUCCACCAAUAGGAUUAGAUACCCUAGCAGCCUAASCAGACAAUGAUGAAUGCCAUANACUAAAAAAUAUGUACUGACAAAUUUGUGUUUGCGUUUGCAACCAGUCAGUCGUUCGAUGAUGGUAGCAAUAAAAAGAAAGAAAAAAGAUUAAAAUAAUUUAUUUUUUUUAUUUUUUAUUAUUGCUAUNNAGGUUAUAUAUUACUCGUAAGAGUGUAAUAAUAAUCUUUAAAUUAUACGAAUUCUAUUGUGUAUGUUUUUUUUUGUCUAUAAAUGAAAGUGUAAGCAUUCCACCUCAAGAGUAACGUGGCAACGCGGAAACUGAAAUCAUUANACCGUUUCUGAAACCAGUAGUGAANUAUGUUGUUUAAUUAGAUGAUCCGCAAAACMCCUUACCACAAUUUUGUAUGGUUUAGAGAUAAGUACMAGAGUUGCACGGCUGUCUUCA
rnacentral:rRNA from 1 species